rnacentral:lncRNA from 1 species
AGAAAGCAAGAGGAGAAAGAGAGAAAAAAAAACGGCGAUAUGGACGAAGAUUAAUCGGGAGAGAAAAAAAGAGAGAAAAAAUAAAAAAUUUUGAUCAUUAUGCUAAAAAUUCAAACUGAAUUUAUAAAAUCUAAAAAAAUGACCUAUUUUUACAAAAACACAAAACUGGUGAAUUUUUUAUGCAAAAAGGGCUAUCAAUUUUUUAUUUUGAAAAAACUUCAAAUAUCACCUAUAUGAUUUCGCACUUUUUUAUUUUAGUACCAUAUGAUUUAAUGUGUAUAAAUUUAGUAUCUUGUGGUUUUAUUUUUUUCUUUUUAUUAUCCUCCACUAAUUUUUUUUCGUUAAAUUCGUGACAAAGUUAAAGCUAAAAGGUAUUAAAGUGAAUAUUUGAUAAACUUGGGUGGGGUAUCUGAAGUUUUUUGUAUAUAAUUUAACGAAAUGUUAACAAUGAGCCGAUGAAAAGAGAAAAAUAAAAUCACAUGAUACUAAGUUGAGAAAAUGUGAAACCAUAGGGGCGCUAUUUAAGUUUACCCUUAAUAAUAAUAGUAGAGAGAGAGA